rnacentral:rRNA from 1 species
AUUGAACGCUGGCGGCAGGCCUAACACAUGCAAGUCGAGCGGAUGAAGGGAGCUUGCUCCUGGAUUCAGCGGCGGACUGGUGAGUAAUGCCUAGGAAUCUGCCUGUUAGUGUUGGAUAACGUCCGGAAACGGGCGCUAAUACCGCAUACGUCCUGAGGGCGAAAGUGUGGGAUCUUCGGACCUCACGCUAUCAGAUGAGCCUAUGUCGGAUUAGCUAGUUGGUGGGGUAAAGGCCUACCAAGGCGACGAUCCGUAACUGGCCUGAGAGGAUGAUCAGUCACACUGGAACUGAGACACGGUCCAGACUCCUACGGGAGGCAGCAGUGGGGAAUAUUGGACAAUGGGCGAAAGCCUGAUCCAGCCAUGCCGCGUGUGUGAAGAAGGUCUUCGGAUUGUAAAGCACUUUAAGUGGGGAGGAAGGGCAGUAAGUUAAUACCUUGCUGUUUUGACGUUACCAACAGAAUAAGCACCGGCUAACUUCGUG